UACAGAGGGGGCAAGCGUUGUUCGGAAUUACUGGGCGUAAAGGGCGCGUAGGCGGCCCGCUAAGUCGAACGUGAAAUCCCUGGGCUCAACCCAGGAACUGCGUCCGAUACUGGUGGGCUUGAAUCCGGGAGAGGGAUGUGGAAUUCCAGGUGUAGCGGUGAAAUGCGUAGAUAUCUGGAGGAACACCGGUGGCGAAGGCGGCAUCCUGGACCAACACUGACGCUGAGUGAGCGAAAGCCAGGGGAGCAAACGGG
rnacentral:rRNA from 1 species